UCUAUCUUGUAUUUCUAGUAUCUUUGGCUGAGGCUAGACAUUUGCUCGCCAGAGCAGUUCAGGAGGCGCGCGUUGACGGCUUUCUGUUGUACUACCACACGAGAAUUCUCCACACGAUACAUCUAGAGAAAGUCACAUUACUAGCCUAGGAAGGAGGCCUACAUUUUUUCGAUAUACUUAUCACUUCGAGGGACUUUGUUAGCCGCGAUGCAUUACAAUGAGAAAUGUGGAAGACAGCAAGCUACAACUAAGAAUGGAGGAGGAAGCCGAUUUGCAAUUAAGUACCCAAUCUAUGACUUUGUUGACACCUUUGGAUCUACUGUAGUGAUAAGUUUCUGUACUACUGAUGUGUGCAGCCAUACACAGAUGCGCCACCAUAUCUUUGUAGCAGCUACGAACGACAGGAUAAAACAAAGGAUAUUGCUCCUCACCGCACCCACUUUGCUGAAUAACUGUAACUUAUGAUAAACUUGGAUUCUUGAACCCUGUGAAUUUAUUAACUAGACUUAAAUUUUCUUCUUAUUUGAGCGACAGCA
rnacentral:misc_RNA from 1 species